rnacentral:lncRNA from 1 species
UACCAGGUCUCGGACGUAGGUUGUAGGGGUGGAAGUGCGGGCUGCGAGGUUAGGGACGCCGGCGCCGGCGGUUGGGCGCCGUCGCGGCGUGAGAGAGAGAGAGAGGGAGGCGGCUAGGGUUUGGGGCUCUCGUCUCCUGAGGGAGACGACAACAGAAUAUACUGUUUAUUGUCUGAUUAAUAUCGAAGGGGUACAUGUGUUUAUAAAGGAGGACA